rnacentral:rRNA from 1 species
UACGGAGGAUGCAAGCGUUAUCCGGAAUUAUUGGGCGUAAAGCGUCCGCAGGUGGUUAUUCAAGUCUGCUGUUAAAGCGUGGAGCUUAACUCCAUAUCGGCAGUGGAAACUGGAUGACUAGAGUUCGGUAGGGGUAGCGGGAAUUCCCAGUGUAGCGGUGAAAUGCGUAGAUAUUGGGAAGAACACCAGCGGCGAAAGCGCGCUACUGGGCCGAGACUGACACUGAGGGACGAAAGCUAGGGGAGCGAAAGGG